rnacentral:rRNA from 1 species
CUUAGCAGCGAACGUGUGAGUAACACGUAGAUAAUCUAUCCUAUACUGGGGGAUAGCCCGAUGAAAGUUGGAUUAAUACCGCAUAUAGCUAUAUAGUUGCAUGAUUAUGUAGUGAAAGAUUUAUUGGUAUAGGAGGAGUCUGCGGCACAUUAGCUAGUAGGUGAGGUAAAGGCUUACCUAGGCGACGAUGUGUAGCCGGUCUGAGAGGAUGAACGGCCACAAUGGAACUGAGACACGGUCCAUACUCCUACGGGAGGCAGCAGUGGGGAAUAUUGCACAAUGGGGGAAACCCUGAUGCAGCAACGCCGCGUGAGUGAAGAAGGUUUUCGGAUUGUAAAGCUCUGUUAGCAGGGAAGAGGAAGGACGGUACCUGCAGAGGAAGCCACGGCUAACUACGUGCCAGCAGCCGCGGUAAUACGUAGGUGGCAAGCGUUGUUCGGAAUAACUGGGCGUAAAGGAUGCGUAGGCGGUUAAACAAGUUAUAUGUUAAAUAUAUAGGCUUAACCUGUAGAAAGCAUAUAAAACUGUUUAACUAGAGUGCAGGAGAGGUAAGUGGAAUUCCUAGUGUAGCGGUGAAAUGCGUAGAGAUUAGGAAGAACACCAGUGGCGAAGGCGACUUACUGGACUGUAACUGACGCUGAGGCAUGAGAGCAUGGGGAGCAAACAGGAUUAGAUACCCUGGUAGUCCAUGCUGUAAACGAUGGGUACUAGGUGUGGGUUGUGAAUAACAAUUCGUGCCGUCGCAAACGCAAUAAGUACCCCGCCUG